AACCAACAGGGAUUGCCUCAGUAACGGCGAGUGAAGCGGCAACAGCUCAAAUUUGAAAUCUGGCUCCUUCGGGGUCCGAAUUGUAAUUUGUAGAGAGUGCUUCGGGCGAGACCUCGGUCUAAGUCCAUUGGAACAUGGUGUCAUAGAGGGUGAGAAUCCCGUAUGCGACCGUGGCUCGAGCCCAUGUGAAGCCUCUUCGACGAGUCGAGUUGUUUGGGAAUGCAGCUCAAAAUGGGUGGUAAAUUUCAUCUAAAGCUAAAUACUGGCUGGAGACCGAUAGCGCACAAGUAGAGUGAUCGAAAGAUGAAAAGCACUUUGGAAAGAGAGUCAAACAGUACGUGAAAUUGUUGAAAGGGAAGCGCUUGCAACCAGACCUGCCCGUAGGCGAUCCGCCGCUGUUCUCAGCGGUGUACUCGCUCUGCGAUCAGGCCAGCAUCGGUUUCGGCGGUCGGAUAAAGGCCUUGGGAAUGUAGCUUCCCCUCGGGGGAGUCUUAUAGCCCUCGGUGUAAUGCGGCCAGCUGGGACCGAGGACCGCGCUUCGGCUAGGAUGCUGGCGUAAUGGUUGUAAGCGACCCGUCUUGAAACACGGACCAAGGAGUCUAACAUCUAUGCGAGUGUUUGGGUGUCAAACCCAUACGCGAAAUGAAAGUGAACGGAGGUGAGAACCCUUAAGGGCGCAUCAUCGACCGAUCCAGAUGUCUUCGGAUGGAUUUGAGUAUGAGCAUAGCUGUUGGGACCCGAAAGAUGGUGAACUAUGCCUGAAUAGGGUGAAGCCAGAGGAAACUCUGGUGGAGGCUCGCAGCGGUUCUGACGUGCAAAUCGAUCGUC
rnacentral:rRNA from 1 species